UACGUAGGGGGCGAGCGUUGUUCGGAAUCACUGGGCGUAAAGGGCGCGUAGGCGGCUUAUCAAGUCAGGCGUGAAAUUCCCGGGCUCAACCUGGGGCUGCGCUUGAUACUGAUUGGCUUGAAUGCGGGAGAGGGAUGCGGAAUUCCAGGUGUAGCGGUGAAAUGCGUAGAUAUCUGGAGGAACACCGGUGGCGAAGGCGGCAUCCUGGACCGGUAUUGACGCUGAGGCGCGAAAGCCAGGGGAGCCAAAGCGGG
rnacentral:rRNA from 1 species